UACGUAGGGCGCAAGCGUAUCCGGAAUUAUUGGGCGUAAAGAGCUCGUAGGCGGUUUGUCGCGUCUGCCGUGAAAGUCCGGGGCUCAACUCCGGAUCUGCGGUGGGUACGGGCAGACUAGAGUGAUGUAGGGGAGACUGGAAUUCCUGGUGUAGCGGUGAAAUGCGCAGAUAUCAGGAGGAACACCGAUGGCGAAGGCAGGUCUCUGGGCAUUAACUGACGCUGAGGAGCGAAAGCAUGGGGAGCGAACAGG
rnacentral:rRNA from 1 species